rnacentral:lncRNA from 1 species
CAAGGGUAGGGGCAGCCUGGCAAGGUUAAAGGUCAGUCUGGCAAGGGUAGGGGUCAGCCUUACAAGGGUAGGGGGCAGUCUGGCAAGGGUAGGGGUCAGCCUGGCAAGGGUAGGGGCAGCCUGGCAAGGGUAGGGGGCAGCCUUGCAAGGGUAGGGGGCAGCCUGGCAAGGUUAAAGGUCAGCCUGGCAAGGGUAAGGGGCAGCCUGGCAAGGUUAAAGGUCAGCCUGGCAAGGGUAGGUGUCAGCCUGGCAAGAGUGGGGGCCAGCCUGGCAAGGUUAAAGGUCAGCCUGCAAGGGUAGGGGAUGAGCAGAUGCAGAGGCUUCUUUGGAAACCACAGGAUGAAGAAGUCAGGCCGACAGGGUGAGCUGCUCCCCUCCACCUGC